rnacentral:rRNA from 1 species
GGUCGCCUAAAAAUCACAUAAUCAAAUAGUGCCCUAGGUGAUAACNUAAGGGAAAAAAUGGAUAUUACCUUACUAUAAGUGUUGUCUAAAUAACUGGUGCCAGAAGACUCGGUAACACCAGAAACGCGAACGUUAGUCGUCUUAAACAGGCGUAAAGGGUAAGUACGCUGCUUUAAAGUCUAUUUUUUUAUAAGCUAAUUAAUAAAAAACCAUCCAUCCUCUAGCUAUUGCUAAGGAGGGCUUUGUCUAGUAGUCCUCCCCUUGGCAAGGAGCUGCGAGGGUGGAUAAAUUUUCAGACUUUAAAUUAUAAAUUAAGGCUAAGAAAAAUGAAAAUAGGGUAUUAUUAAUAGUUGCUUUGUUAUUUCUAAGCAAGCAAACAGAAUUUAUAAUAAUUUUAUUAAUAGGAACAAAAUAGAUACACUUAAAGCUAGAAUCAUAAUUGAGAUAAACCAAAUAAUACUUAUGUGUAAGGGCGAUAUCUGAAAAUACUAAGUAGAAUACUAACGGUGAAAACUUUUUAUCUGGUAAUGAUUGACGCUGAGGUACGAAAGUGAGAACAGGGAAUAGGAUUAGAUACCCAGUUACCUCUCACCGUCAACGAUGAAUGGUAGUUGUUAAUUUAAUUUAACUUAGUGACGAUUGUUACGCGAUUACCAUUUCCGCCUUGAGAGUACGGUUGCAAAAUCUUAAACCAAUUUUAGCAGGCUG